GAUCCUGGCUCAGGAUGAACGCUAGCUACAGGCUUAACACAUGCAAGUCGAGGGGCAGCAUGAACUUAGCUUGCUAAGUUUGAUGGCGACCGGCGCACGGGUGAGUAACACGUAUCCAACCUUCCGUUUACUCAGGGAUAGCCUUUCGAAAUAAAGAUUAAUACCUGAUAGUAUGGUGAGAUUGCAUGAUAGCACCAUUAAAGAUUUAUUGGUAAACGAUGGGGAUGCGUUCCAUUAGG
rnacentral:rRNA from 1 species